ensembl:snRNA Gm23336 predicted gene, 23336
GCGUUGUAUGAGCGGAGGGUUAGCGCUCCUCUAGACAAGGACAGAAGAGGCCCUUGGGCCUAACAACACGCAUACAGUUAGGGUACUGCCACCAUAGUUUGUGGCGUCUAACCACUGUUUCUG